GGCCAGGUCGCGGGCGGAGGCAUCGGACAGGCGGGAGGACAGGCUGGCGGGGUCCGGCUUCUCCAGCACCUUGGCAAUGACGCAGGCAGACAGACGAACGGGGGCCUCCCGGCUUCUCAAAUCACACCAGGGGGAGCCUGGAUCCAGGACGCUGUACUGAACAAGCUCCCAGGGGUGUGGGUGCUGUGACUGCCUGGGGAUCCUGGGUCACCUCUCCCCACCCCACUCUGAUUGGGCCCAGGAGAGCCCAGAAGCUGCAGUCGCCUGGAGAAGCCGGAACCCAGGCACUGCCGGUCAUCGUGCCCAGCCACAGGCUCCUGCGAAGCUCCACAAAGGUCACUCUGCCGUGUCAGCGCUCAGUGGAAGCAAGGACCUGGAGCAGCCCCCCAAAGGAAACCGAGGGCAACCAGCAGCCGGGGUGGGCCAAAGGGACUCUGGUGAGGGCCAGGGGCUGCCCGGCUGCGUGAGGUGGGGUGCCUUUGGCGGCCCCUCCAAUGUCAUGACCCCACAGGAGCGAGGGGGACAGAGGAGGCUCAGGCUCAGCUGGCAUCUUCCUCCUCAAAGAUGGGAAAUGGCUUUGGGGUAGCACUGGCACAAAAGGAGCCCGGUGGUCCCGGGGCGGGGUGGGCCUGGCUGCGGGGCC
rnacentral:lncRNA from 1 species